rnacentral:sRNA from 1 species
ACAUUUACCCAAUCGUUCGGAGGAACCAUUUCUCCUUUGAUCUACUGUCACGAGCCUUUCGCUGGAAUUUGCUCCAAAAGAGACAUUUUUAUUGGCUUUUGUUUCCCUUUAAAUAGGUUAUAGCAUUUUUUUUGUCCCCUAAAUGAAGACCAGAAGCCCCCACGCAAGAUGAAGAGUCCUUACAAUGUUGGGAAAGCAAAGAAAAGGGGUUAUCUCUUGCAGACCCUUCCCCCAUGCUUGGGAGAGACAUUGGGACCAAAUCACCAUUUGCACAAAAGACUAGAAAUUUGUAAUUGUGGAUAACAAUUUGCAAACAGAACUGGGCCUUCUCACCCCUACCCCCUGCUCUGAGAAGGGCAGUAUGAGUAUUUUAACUGGCCGUACAGUGUCUUCCUGUGCAGACCAAAGAAGGCCUCAGGGAGGUGAUGUGUGUCUGCUGCCAACACAGCUUUAUCCGUUUUCAUGGCCGAGUCUUACUCUACCGUGUAGAGCAUGUCUGUUCAUCUUCUGUGGUUGACUUGUUGCCCCUGUCUGUGGCUGCUAUGAAAUGUACUGCUGUGAACCUUGUGGACCUCGAUGGAGAAGUUAUCUACCUGAAACCCAUUGUGACUGGAUUUGGGGGACACAUGGUCAUUAUACAGUUAACUUUUUGAGGAUUCCAAGGAUCCACUUAUGAUGGAGAAAAAUCAGAGAAAAAUGUAAUGUCUGGUCUUCUGCAGUAGCUGCUUAUGAAGAUGAAUUUGUGUGUCCUGCCAGCUCCGAACCUUCCUCCCCCCAGACGUACCCUUCAAAGCACGGGAUCCUGCUUGGCUCUCUACAGAACUGAGGCUGUCACAGGGAACUCACCUCUGAGGCAGCAGUGACAGUCACAUGAAGGGGUUCCAGAGAGGCUAAGGGACAUCCUCAGAAGGCUGGGGACUUCUCUGAGCCUCAUUGUCUGCAGAACUUGCUAAAAAACCAAAAUGAAACAAAGAAAAACAAAACCAAGUUGGGUAGAUGGUGCUGUUCCUUCCCCGCUAGAGCAGUGUGUCCUAUAGACGUGGUUUGAGGGGACCACUCUGGGAGGAUCACACUGGGAGGACUACCACACUGGGAGGAUCACUCUGGGAGGACUACACUGGGAGGAUCACUCUGGGAGGAUCACACUGGGAGGAUCACCACACUGGGAGGAUCACUCUGGGAGGACUACACUGGGAGGAUCACCCUGGGAGGAUCACCCUGGGAGGACCACCACACUGGGAGGACCACUCUGGGAGGAUCACACUGGGAGGAUCACCACACUGGGAGGACCACUCUGGGAGGAUCACACUGAGAGGACCAGCACACUGGGAGGACCACUCUGGGAGGAUCACACUGAGAGGACCAGCACACUGGGAGGAUCACUCUGGGAGGAUCACACUGAGAGGACCAGCACACUGGGAGGAUCACUCUGGGAGGAUCACACUGAGAGGACCAGCACACUGGGAGGAUCACUCUGGGAGGAUCACCCUGGGAGGAUCACCCUGGGAGGACUACCACACUGGGAGGACCACUCUGGGAGGAUCACACUGGGAGGAUCACCACACUGGGAGGACCACUCUGGGAGGAUCACACUGAGAGGACCAGCACACUGGGAGGAUCACUCUGGGAGGACCACACUGCUGCCAUGUAUUUGGAUAAGGGAAGUGGGAUCCUGUUGAGCUGGGAUGAGAUGCAGGAUUUCCAGGUCCUGUCCUUGCUUCUGUCCAGACACAAUCUCAAGUGUUGUGGGAAGCAUCCUUGGUGAGUGGAACUCCUGUGGGGCUGUGCACAAACAACUCGAGGUCUCACACACACGUCAACACUGUAGUCGCCGCAGAACUUCAGUGUUGGUUUAACUUGGGGAACACCCAGGCCGCUGACUCACGGGCCCUUUCACUAGGGCCUCACUUGAGAAUCUCCCUCCUGAGGGCCGCUUGUGAAGACAACUUUGUCUUCAUCUGUGCUGGAUGAAGACAGGAAUUUAGUCUGAUAUUUAAAAUAAUAUAUUCUGCAAUCUCUUCUAUUAAUCUGUUUUAUUAAAAUCAACGUUUUAUAAACUGUCACAUUCAUUACUUUUUAGCUAUAUCAAUCAAGGUAAAAAAUUAAUUUUUAAAAAGA